UUCCCGAGGAAUUUGGCGUCAAUGAACUAGUACACAAUUCAGUUGAACUGUUCAAUAAAAUACCACCACACAAGAUAGCAAGCACUGGGAAUAUAAGACUGAAUUCAAGGUUGAUUUCAUUUGGAUCAAUCGUGACCAGAGACACUUUGAGUGGUUCAUGGAGCUACUGAAUGAACUGGAAAUGGAACAGAAUGAAUAUGGAACACUAAUGGAUCGGUUCCUUGAUAUGCACAUGUACAUCACAUCAGCUUUGAAAGGACUGAUGUUAAAGCAUUAGGACUACAAAUGGCUCUUGAUCUGAUACACAAAGAAAAGAACAUUGAUCUUAUAACUGGACUGAAGACCAGGACACAGACUGGUAGACCUAACUGGGAUAAGGUCUAUAUGUUAAUGCUGGGGAAUAGAAUUUAGUUCAACUCUAGC
rnacentral:misc_RNA from 1 species